rnacentral:rRNA from 1 species
GCAGUCGACGGUAACGGAAAAGCUUGCUGUUUCGCUGACGAGUGGCGGACGGGUGAGUAAUGUCUGGGAAACUGCCUGAUGGAGGGGGAUAACUACUGGAAACGGUAGCUAAUACCGCAUAACGUCGCAAGACCAAAGAGGGGGACCCUCGGGCCUCUUGCCAUCGGAUGUGCCCAGAUGGGAUUAGCUUGUUGGUGGGGUAACGGCUCACCAAGGCGACGAUCCCUAGCUGGUCUGAGAGGAUGACCAGCCACACUGGAACUGAGACACGGUCCAGACUCCUACGGGAGGCAGCAGUGGGGAAUAUUGCACAAUGGGCGCAAGCCUGAUGCAGCCAUGCCGCGUGUAUGAAGAAGGCCUUCGGGUUGUAAAGANCUUUCAGCGGGGAGGAAGGGAGUAAAGUUAAUACCUUUGCUCAUUGACGUUACCCGCAGAAGAAGCACCGGCUAACUCCGUGCCAGCAGCCGCGGUAAUACGGAGGGUGCAAGCGUUAAUCGGAAUUACUGGGCGUAAAGCGCACGCAGGCGGUUUGUUAAGUCAGAUGUGAAAUCCCCGGGCUCAACCUGGGAGCUGCAUCUGAUACUGGCAAGCUUGAGUCUCGUAGAGGGGGGUAGAAUUCCAGGUGUAGCGGUGAAAUGCGUAGAGAUCUGGAGGAAUACCGGUGGCGAAGGCGGCCCCCUGGACGAAGACUGACGCUC